rnacentral:snoRNA from 1 species
GUGCACAUUUUAUUGUCUUUUUUCUUUGUGUCAAGAGAAAAGAUAUUUCUGAUGUGCUAAACAAACCUGUGGAGGUCAAUUAGCAGCAUGGCUUGCCUUAGCCAUUGCUGUCAGUCUCCUUCAGACAAGU